CAUUGUGGACGAUCUACUGCUUAAUGAGCAGCACUAUUUCCUCUGCAACAGGUAGGCAUCGCCACUGGUAAGAUUCUGGGAGAUGAUUUCAAACAAUCCAAGCCAUUGAAAGUGGUUGAACGGACUUCAAGUUUGAAUCAAUGAUUGUGAACUCCACCAGAAUUAAUAAUCAACAUUGUGAAGUGCAUCUUGUUCAUCUCCCAUAGGUGGUUGGCCUUUGAUGAGGAUGAUGAACAGAUUGAGCGCGUGCUGCCUGCAGCUAAGGACGAGCAGCUGGUGGCCUUCGGCACUUUGUUCGCAGAUAGAACUACCAAGUAAGUCUUCACGUGUUCUAUGACGAUCAUCGUGAAUUCGAUCAUUACCAUGUUGUUCUGUGUAAAGUGGUACAUCUAGUAACUAAAUACAUACUUUGUUUCAUAGCUUCAGUUUCAGUUUGUCGUAAGUCUAAACUUCCGAAUUAAGUGUCAGUCAAUUGAUUGAUUGAAUGGUUGGCUGAUUGGUUUGCUGAUUGGUCGAUUGAUUGAUUGAUUGAUUGAUUGCACCACAGGGACCUGCGAGACGGACACAUCUGGUACUCUGUGUACGGCCGCCCUGCCAGCAGCCCCUUCACCCGCACCCAGCGGGUCUCCUGCUGCCUGUCCAUCAUCAUGUGCACCAUGCUGGCAAACAUCAUGUUCUUCGGCCGAGGAGACGACUUCGACCCGCCGGAACCCGUCACGAUCUUCGGGUUUGAUGUGCAGAUCCCCAUUUCAUGGCCUCAGAUCCUGAUCGGUCUCCAAAGCGCCGCGGUGGUGUUUCCCAUCAACGCCAUCAUCAUUUGGAUAUUCCGGAACGUUAAACAACGUCAAGUUAAAAAAGGUAGGAUAAAAGAAUUAUCAUGGAGAAGCUUUCUUAAGUACAUCUUUUUUCCCUUACAUUUCACCAUUAUCGUUUACUAAAAAAGUAGAUACGGUACCAUUUUUAAUUAUUAUCAUCAUUUACGUUUAGAAACUUCUACCGACAACCGUCCCGUCAAGAACGACAAAGUUGUCACUACGAAACGGCCUUCUGGAAAACACAACAUUCCAACUUCCACGACACUGUCAAGCAUUGACAUAUACCUAAUGAAUGCCCCGCCCUCAUUGCCAGAACAGGUUCGUCGAAAUUCUGCAGAACAGGCCAGGCGAGAUGACGUCAUUGAAAUGACUUCCCCAGGACAGCUCAAGUCUCAAGGUAAAUUCUACAGGCGAAU